GAUGGCGAGGAGAAAACCUAUUAGGGUGGCUGUGAAGGCCCUGAUGCCAUGUAUGUCAAAUUGAUAUCAUCUGAUGGUCAUGAAUUUAUUGUAAAAAGAGAACAUGCAUUAACAUCAGGCAUGAUAAAGCCAUGUUGAGUGGCCCAGGUCAAUUUUGCUGAGAACGAAACCAAUGAGGCCAGUUUUAGAGAGGUACCUUCACAUGUGCUAUCAAAAGUAUGCACGUAUUUUACACACAGGUUCACUACGCUAACAGCUCCACCGAGAUUCCCAAACUCCCAAUUACACUGAAACUGCACUAGAACUGCUGGUGGCUGCGAACUUCCUAGAUUGU
rnacentral:lncRNA from 1 species